UUCAAAUAGAUCCCCUUUUGAUGAGUAAGCAAUAGCCCCACCCCUUUAAGAGAAGGGCUAAACUCAUAUGUGCAUAUUCUUAGUUGAGCAGGUUGCAAAGCAGCAAGUUGAUCUCUAACUUGCUCCCACUAAUAGCUGGAAUACUACAGACAGAUUGUAAACACACAACUUUCACAGCAGGGGUGUGCUAUUGCUGCUUUUACUCUGCCAUAGGAGUUGGCACAAGAUAAACAGUUUCUUCUGCAGGUAUCAACUGCGAUCAAGAUGGGCAAUGAGCAUUCUAAAAACAAGGCUGAGCAGGCUCCAGAAAAGCCCCUGCAUGGAGGAUUGAAUGGCCAUGCUGUAAGCAUCUCAUCCAAUGGCCUGGAGAAUGUUAUCAGUGAAGCAGCUGUGGAGCAGAACAGUAUGCCUCCCUCACUGCCUCCCUCUGAAGAGUCAGGUAUAGUGGAGGCAGAUGGCAGUGGUCUUGGGCCUGUGGUGGUGGAACAGAAGUCUGCCAUCAAGGAGGUUCCAGAAGUGGAACCAGAGACACAGAAUGCUAAGACUCAAAACACACCGGAACCAGAACUGGAACCAGCCACCCAAGAGAAGGAGGAGCCCAAGAACAGUACGAAAGAAAAAGUGAACAUCUUUGAAAAUCUGUUCAAGAAGAAAGCUAAGCCUCAACCCACCCCCAACCCGGAUCCAGCCCUGGAAAAGGAGGAAACCAUAAAGGACAAGAUUGUGGAGGAGAUUGAAAGUUCUGCAGAAGAUCAGAAAGUCCCUGUGGCUGUGACCGAUGGGAUCCAAGCUGAGCCACUUGCUGAGGUAAAGGAGGAUACAGAGACUUCAAAGGAGCGUCCCAACCCUAGUCCAGAGGCAGAGGAGGUCAAAAGCCCCAAAAUUGCAGAGGAAAGCAGUCACAUUCAGGAAAACCAAGAGGGAGAGAGUCAAACAGAAGAGAAUCCAGUUAUGAACUUCUUCAAAACACUAGUGACUCCCACAAAAAAAAACAAGCAAGAAACAGCCACCCCUGCUGUUGCAAAAGACCAGAAAGAGGCCCAACCAACAACAACAACUACUGCUGCACAACUAGUGGAUGCUCCAGCAACAGCCAAAGGAGGAAUGUCAAUCCCACCAGCCCCAGCCCCAGCCCCAUCCCCAGCCCCAGCCCCAGCCCCAGCCCCAGCCCCAGCCCCAGCCCCAUCCCCAGCCCCAGCCCCAGCCCCAGCCCCAGCCCCAGCCCUAGGCUCAUGUAAGAUGGAGGUUAAAGCAGAACUAGCUGCCCAAUCUGUGACCAACACACCAAACGAAGAACCAAAGGGUGCUGCCAAAGAACCAGAGGCCGCCAAGCCGAAAUCUGACCGCCCGUUCAGCAGACUUUUCAGCAGAAAGGCACUGAUAGGCCUCAAGUCUAAAAUCAAGGUUAAGUCAACAAGUGGAGCCAGAGCCCCUGCCAAGCCUGCUGCAGCGACAGUGGAACCAGUGGAGCCACAGCCGGUUGUGGAAGUACAGGUAAAAGGAGAGAACUCUUGGCAUACUCCAUCCUCAUGUGCCAUCUUUGUCUCUUUCUGUUGGGUUGCAUGGUGAAAAUGGGUGUUCACGCUAUCAGUUACAGAGGAGGCUGGUGGGAGGAGCAAUAAGAGGACAGGCUUAUUGUAAUGCCUGGAAUGGAAUCAAUGGAAUGGAGUAAAAUACGUUGUCUCCAUGUGUUUGUGUUUGGUACCAUUCCAGUGACUCCAUUCCAUCAUUACAAUGAGCACAUCCUCCUAUAGCUCCUCUCACCAGCUUGAAUUUGAGGCACUGAUAGGCCUCAAGUCUAAAAUCAAGGUUAAGUCAACAAGUGGAGCCAGAGCCCCUGCCAAGCCUGCUGCAGCGACAGUGGAACCAGUGGAGCCACAACCGGUUGUGGAAGUACAGAAUGUAGACUUCUCAAAGACGGCCACUCUGGAGGCCUCUGCCACACUAGAACCACCACCACCAGAGGAAGAGAAGACACCUGCUGCCUCCAAAGCCUCUCCUUUCACUUCCUUUUCUCUUUUCAAGACAAAGGCAGCUGUGCCAAAAAAGGAAGUCCCUGCCCUAGCUGCAGAAGCGGUAGUUGAACCAAGUGUAGCCAAGGACGAACCAAAGGCCCCAGAGGACCCUGCUGUGGACAGCAAGCCCGUGUCAGAGCCCUCCGAGGUUAUGGAGAAUUCCCCCGUCCUCCCUAAGAGACUGGAGAAGAGGAACUCCAUCCACUUGUUCUUCAAAAACCUGGGCAAACGCCAGUCAGAUGCAGGAGUACAAACAGAACCAGAGAAGACCAAAUAAAACAGAAACACCCUUUCAAACAUCACAUGCCAUAUCUGGAAAUGAACUUUUGAUUUGUUAGAUACAUUAUGUUUCUGAUCACACUAUUGAUGUGGUAAGAGCAAGUGGUUUGAGGGAGAGAGGUGGACUGUGGACUAGUCUGUUCUAGUCUAAUCUUUGUGGACAAUUUCAGAGAAUUGUUCUUUGUGGAGGAGGUAAAUAUAUUUUCUGGUUUUAAAGGCUUGAUAGGUAGAGAAAAGUGGUUUUGUAACAUAUACUGAGAGCAAAAUCAAUUUUCUAUACAGUAUGUACCCUUCUUUUAACAUACAUGUCAAACUCAUUCCACGGAGGGCUGAGUGUCUGCUGGUUUUUGUUCCUCCCUUGAUUGAUUAAUUAAGGUCACUAAUUAGUAAAGAACUCCCCUCACCUGGUUGUCUAAGGUCUUAAAAACGAAACACUCGCAGACACUAAGCCCUUCAUGGAAUGAGUUUGACAUCCCUGCUUUAACAUAUUAAUGUGUAAGGAUCUAAUGCAAAUAUUACGUUUAGCAUAUUUUUUUCCCUCUAUACGCAAUUUACUAGUCUGAAAAUAACUUGUGGAGUGCAUACAAUGGUUUCAGAUACAUUCAUAGGACGUCUUGGAGAAGAGAUGCAUAAAGCUUAGCUUGGAAUAGAGAGAUAGUAAUGGAAUAUACUCCAAAUGUAAUGGAGGAGUUGGUGAAAUGGUGGAUAUUCCUGCCAAGAUGUUUUUAUUUAGGCUAGACACAUGCAACUUACAAUGUAGGCUUUAAACUUUGCAGGAACUGUACACGGAUGCAAAUAUAUGCCAAACACUAAAUUACAAUAUAUGAUUAUAAUCAUACACAGGGGGACCUCACAAUCAUUACUUUUUUUGGGAACUACACAGAUCAUCUGGUAGUCUAUAUAGCUAACUGCACAGUCAUGAAUCAUAUUUGAUUAACGUUUCACUGAAGUAUAAAGGUUUGUUCUAAUUUGAGUGCACUGCUUUACAUGUGUGUGCCUGUUUGAAUGCAGAUGUUAUAAUCUUGGGUAUCUUGUCUGUUAAUUUCUGCACCUAUAAUUUGAUAAACUGGAUCUGGAAGUAGAAUAUUUAUUGUGACAGCAAUUUCCGAAUCAUGACAACCUGCAAUGGGGUAUAUGGGGGGGUUCUACUGAGCUAACAUGGAUUUUUUUUUAAAGAUCAUACCAUGGAUCCUUUAGCUAUUUAAUUUUUCAUUGGGGUAAAAUAUUGAAUUUGGCCUUUUAAUGCUACAACCUAUAGAAAUGCAUUGAAUAACACACUCAUAAAUGGCAAAACAGAGUACAAAAAUAAAUAAUAAGGAAUAUGUUUUUGAAUUGUCUGUCCUACAUCUAGGAGAUGUAAUAAAGUUCAGGAUUUACACAUUUAACCCAUUUUUUGGGGUGUCACAAAACUACUUCUAUAUUUGUUUUUAUGUUAAUUAGAUUGACGCACGGGUGCGUUGAUCAACUUUAGGGGUAUUUAAAGCUAUUUUUUUCUGUAACUGUUAAGAGAAUAAAUGUAUACAAUUAUAUGUUUUCUUGUUUUCUAUCUCACAAUUUAGGCCAAAAGCUAUCAGUAUAGGGAAAUAUGAAAACAUAUUUAGACUGGAAUUAAAUGUCCC
ensembl:lncRNA